rnacentral:rRNA from 1 species
UACGUAGGUGGCAAGCGUUAUCCGGAUUUAUUGGGCGUAAAGCGAACGCAGGCGGUCUUUUAAGUCUGAUGUGAAAGCCUUCGGCUUAACCGGAGUAGUGCAUUGGAAACUGGGAGACUUGAGUGCAGAAGAGGAGAGUGGGACUCCAUGUGUAGCGGUGAAAUGCGUAGAUAUAUGGAAGAACACCAGUGGCGAAAGCGGCUCUCUGGUCUGUAACUGACGCUGAGGUUCGAAAGCGUGGGUAGCAAACAGG